GCUGGUGUAGCUCAAUUGGCAGAGCAGCUGAUUUGUAAUCAGCAGGUUGCGGGUUCAAGUCCCAUCGCCAGCU
rnacentral:tRNA from 1 species